UAACAUAAACAAAUCUACUUCUUUUUAAAAGUACAGAGUUGAUCUCAUUUUGUUUGGCUUUUUAACUGAUCAAUACCUGUGCAGAUGUUUCAGCAGCAUUUCCCACUCAAUGAAAUUUUCUUUCCAAUGGCAAAGAUCAACAAAUUAGUUUGAUGAUAUUUAUUCUAUUAAGUGGUAUAUUUAUGUUGGCAGUAAGUGGAUACUUUAAAAAGAAUGUCUACUUAAUAACUGUGGGAUCAUGUUUUCUUAAGAUAGUGUUUUAGAUUUUGUACGUUAUUAGUCCAUAAUUUUUUUUGGAAACUAAAUAGUUUCCAAAAUUGUACAAGUACAAAAGUACAAAACUGUACUCAUAUUGGGAGAUACUAUUGAGUUAAAAACUGGGUCGUCAUUCAGGGUCCAAUAAGCAGAUAGGAAUCACAUAAUUGUAACAAAGUUUAAUAUAGAGAAUUAAUAACUGCAACCAAUCUAGAUUACUUGCCUCAGAAAAAAAACUAAAGAAGAAUAGAAGAAUAGAUACAGGGGAAGCCAUUACCUCUAAGCCUGAGAGGCAAAGUCCAGAGGAAGAAAUCUGGAAGAGGUACUCCUCCCCUACAAUGGAGUGGUUAUGGCUAUGGCCAAGACCCACUGGAUUAUGAAGUUCUCUGGGGUACAUUGGCAGCUGAAAUUGCCAGAAAGCCGCCUUCCAGGUGCUUGGAAAACUGUCCAUAGGGAAGUAUUGCUUCAUGGAAUUUGCUGGGAAGCUGCCCUCUGAAAUGCCAAAGGAGGUCGCCCACAGGGAAUGCCAUUCAGUAGAACUCACUGGUGGGGAGGGGGCACUGCUGGGUGACUUAUGCACUGCUGGUUGUUGUGUACCACAGGAGCAAGCAGAGAAAAACACACUGGAACAAAGCCUGGUUUUUGUCCAACCAUCUGCUGGGUUCUCUCCAACCAUCUGCUGACAACAUUGAACAUUGUUGUUACCUGAGAAAGGGAUAUGUUUACAGGGCCCAUCUCCAAUAUCAUAAGUAAGGCAAAGGAGGGUAGAUUUGGAAAUAAGAGGAAAUCAACUGAUAAGUGGCACAAGGCAAGUGAGAUUGCUUUCAGUUUCCUAAGUGAAAGCAAAGGAUUUUUUAAAGACCUGGAAUCCAUUGAUUUCUCAAACAAGGGAAAUCAGUCCUUGAGUAGAAUUUUGCAUAGGGCUUCAUGUAAGUGUUUAAACUGCAAAAACAAGAAAACAGUUCAUGUUCAGGCUUUGGACUAUUCCUUUGAAAUAUUCAGGUACAUUUAUACAAUGAAAAUACUGGAAUUCUUAGUUUUCAUCUGUGAAAAUGCUUUCUUGGAGAAUAGUUUUCUUAUAAAAGAGACAGCCUGCCCACAAACAGUCCAUUCCCUAAGGGGAAAAUCUGUGGUUUCUUAAAAAUUGAAUUCAGAUUGUAUUUGCAUGCUUAAGGCCAAGCUGAUUUUUAUGUACUGCUGAUUCAUCUAGACAGGGAAUUGUAUUCCAUCCAGCAUGAUUGGAGGGGAAUACACAGGCCAUCAGCUAAGGUUGCAUGUACAACACAUUGUAAACUGUAAAGUAGUGUGUAAAAGCAGUUCCAUACGGAUUUCUGCUUCGACUUUGCUUUUUGUAAUGUCAUUUAACUCCCAUAAAAUUGUUCCAAUGCAGCUUUCAGAAAUGAUUCUUACAAGCUGUCGAAGUGACAUGGCAGUGCUCAACAGGUGGGCCAAUGAACAAUUUACCCUUCAUAACUCUCUGUGACUAUUGGAAUUCACUAUAAAAUAACAGAUUCUAGAUAUCAUCUGUAGAAAAACUAACUCUUGCCCAAGUGGAUCCGAACAUUAUUAGAACUUCAGGCAGCUGCCACCCCCUAGGCCUUUCUCUGGAAAUCUUGGCAUUUCAUCCUAGCCUUGUAAUGUUCUGAAUCCUUAUUGUCCAGAGUUUGUUUUGAGGUGGCGGGAGUACCAAUCAGAGAACUCAGUUGGAGCAAAGGUUUGCUAUUUCCUGAGAUGUUACCCUGAAAUACGACUGAAUCCUAAAAAUCAGAAGAAUGUUUAUAUAGUUCUUUAUUUUUGUGCUAAGAGUUCCAGUUUACCUAUUAACAUAAGGAUUAAUCUUAUCUCAAAGUCAAUUUAUAAAGGUUUAAGAGAUUCCAAACAUCACUACCAUGUUUCCCAGUUUUGCACACCGUCAUUUAUAAUUUAAGCAGAAGGAAAUACAGCAUGGGUAAAGCUAAAGUGUUUGCAUCUCAUAUUUCCUUCCAAACUGUGUAGCUGGAAGGGUGGAUGUCUCAGAUACCAGAGAAUUGAGCGUGGGCUGCCUACCACAUGCUGGUUUCUGUAAAAUUUCUAUAAUAGUGUUGUUAUCUAAUUAAGUAGAUUCUCCCUCUUUAAAUUAAUUUCCCCAAACUCCUCAUCUUUUAAUUACUGUAAAAACUGGUUUCAUUUUGCUUGCAAGUAAUUUUCUGCUUCCUACAUUUUUGUGGUUUGCUAAUUUGGAAAGAAUUAUAAUCAGUGUACUCUACCAGAGAAAACUCUAUAAUACUAUGGAGUCCAGGAUAAAAAGUUCCAUUUUCUGUGUUUUGGGCAGUUUUCAAGAACUUUAUUCACAGUUAGAUCGUUCAGUCAGAUGGUUUUAUUUGUUUUAGAAGACAAGAAAAAAUUUCUUACAAAUAUGGUAACAUGUUAGAGCUGCUGCAUAACAGAAGAAUUUCCUUCCUUUCUCCCUCCCUGCCUUCUUUCCUUCCUUCCCUCCUUCUUCUUUCAUUUUAUAUUCAAGUUGAAUAUCCUCCUUCUUUUUCCUAAUAGUACCCAUCCCUGAGAUUUACAAAACUCCAAAUAAAUCUAGUAAAAGUGGAGAGAGAGAAAUUUAUUUUUUUAUAUUUAAUUAAAUGAAAAAUUGUGUCAUCUAUAUUUUUUUUUCUCCUGAGAUUAAAAACCAGGUGAAAGAUAUCAUGUUAAAACAAAUGACCACACAAUUGAAGCUAUCCAAUGGUUUUGAAAUCCUAGCAGGGUCUGCCAAAUCUUGCUUUUAAGAGUGGAGAGGUUUAUAAGAACUUUUAUAGUCUUAUCUUGGAGGGAAAAACAAUCUAUAAAAAGCCUUGUAUUGCUUCUGAAUCAUGACAUUAUCUCAUAAAUAAAGACUCAAUAAAAUUUGACAAUAAAAAGAAAGAAGAAAUACUAUUUGUAGUGAAAUGGUGUCUUAAAGACUAUCAAAUUCAGUAAAAUAAUUUGGGGUUUGUUUUUCAAGGAACUAGAUACUGAGAACUUUUUUAAGGAGGUAAAGUAGUUCGGAACAAAUAGAAAAUGAAUUAUUUAACUUAAAGUCUGAUGGCCUACUUGUCUUUUGUGUUGUGUAUCAUUUUGACUGGAACUUGCCAAGAUAUUUGGUUAAACAUUAUUUCUGGGUGUGCCUGUGAAAGAGAGUCCAGUUGACAUUAGCAUUUGAAUUGGUAGAUUCGGUAGAGCAGCGUGUCUUCCCCAAAGUGGAUGUGCAUCAUCCCACAUUGAAUAGAACAAAAUAGGUGGAGGAAGGGAGAAUUUGCCCCUUCUGCCUGACCGAACUCAGACAUCGAUUUUCCCCUGCCCUCUGACUUACACCACAGGUUGCCCUGGUUCUCAAGCCUUUGGACUCUGACCGAACUACAUCAUCAGUUUUCCUGGGUCUCCAGCCUACAGACAGCAGAUGGUGGGAUUUUCAGUCUCCAUAAUCAUGGGCAGAGAGAGAGGGAGACACAGAAUCUGAAGCAAGCUCCAUGCUGAGACCAGAGAUCCUGAUGCGGGACUCAAACCCAUGAACAGUGAGAUCAUGACCUGAGCCGAAGCCGGAUGCCCAACCAACUGAGCCAUCCAGAGAGAGACAGAGCACAAGCAGGGGACGAGCAGAGAGAGAGGGAGACACAGAAUCCAAAGCAGGCUCCAGGUUCCGAGCUGUCAGCACAGAGCCCGAUGUUGGGCUCAAACUCACGGACCCUGAGAUCACGACCCGAGCUGAGGUCGCCACCUAACCAGCUGAGCCACCCAGUCUCCCCUGCCCUCUUUAAAUAGUAAGUAUGUGCCAGUUGAUUUUUGACAAAUGUGCUAAGGUAAUCCAAGUGGGAAAGUCUGGUCUUACCAAGAAAUCGUUCUGGGUUGUGGACCUCUUUGCAAUAGGCAAAACAACAACACUUCUAGAAUAAAACAUAAAAGAAAAUCUUCAUGAACUUAGGUUAAGCAAAGAUUUCCUAGACAAACAUCAAAAGCAUAAUUAAUAAUAAAACAACAAUUUGGACUUGAGCAAAAAUUAAAUGAAUUCUAAAUGCCACCAUUAAGAAAUUGAAAAGACAAAUACAUGGAGAGUACUACUAUGAAUACUGACUAUCUGGGUUCUCUCUAAUGAAAGCUUCUUCAUCUAGUAUCCUCCAGUCAAAAGGAGGGCUAGUUCCUUUAUGUUGUCUGUUGUUUACAUUUCUCUUUAUUCCGUGUUUUAGUCACUGACAUAUGUCAAGUGAUCCUCCACCUGUAUAAUUCUUGUAUUGACUCUUUCUUGACCAUCAGUCUCCUUGAUAUAGAUUAGUUUAAGCAAUGUUCCACACAGUGUAUUCUAGCCCCUUAUGAUAAAUAUAUCCUGUUAUCUUCUCAUUUUUGUAAUGAUGGGCGUGAUUUGAGUAGAAAGUGUGAUCUGCAUGUUCAGAUAGGAUUAGAAAGAUCAGUUUUCACAGGUGAAUGUUACACUUUGGACUAUAACUAUAGUCUUUCUCUAUAUACCUGUUGCUAUAGUCACUAUUCAAGUGUGUAUUACAGUUGAAACAGGCCUCCUGGGCACAUAUUUUGCCUGUAAGCUUUGCUUAAAAAUAUGGCUCAAUAAAAUUUCUUAUGGCUAUGGAACAUUCAGUUCUGUUGGCAACAGUGUUUUUCCACCUAUUAUGUAUUGCUUGUGACUGAGCUUCAGUGAAUCUCUACAUAUGUUUUUUUUUUCCUCUCUAGUUAUACUUACCCAUUUUUAGCCUCAGUACUACAAGUGAUAUUUCUCCUACUGCCAACAUUUUUGUAUGUCCAACUCCAUAGUUUUAACUUAUUUUCCGAUGAAAGACUCUUUAACAUAGUAGGCUAGUAAUGAUAAUGUUCAAGGAUACUAAAUAAGAUUACAGAGGAAGGGUCUUCAAUAUGCAAUAUUUAAAUAAGCAAUUCAAAAUUUAAAAAAUAUAAAAUUGUGUGUAAUUGUAUCCUUUUAUUCUUAUGAUUUGAGAUACAUAUAUGAAGAAAGUUUUUAAAAUAUUAGCUUUUUUUCACUAUUUCAUGUCUUUAUUUUUAAUAUUCUUUCUUUAUUUCCUUAAAAAAAUUUAUGUUUAUUUUUGAGAGGCAGAGAGAGAGAGUGUUAGCGGGGAAUGGGCAAAGAGAGAGAGAGAGAGAGAGAGAGAGAGAGAGAAGACACAGGAUCCAAAGCAGGCUCCAGGCUCUGAGCUGUCAUCACAGAGCCUGAUGUGGGGCUGGAACUCAGGAACUGCGAGAUCAUGACCUGAGCCAAAGUUGGUACUGAAGCAACUAAGCCACCCAGGCACCCCUUUAAUAUUAUUUCUUAAAAGGUUAAUCUUACAUAGCAGGAGAGUGCCAUAGCCAUGACUUAAGCCAUAGAUAAGAUUCAAAAUAGUGGCUUUUGGCUACAGUUUAUUUGUUAUAACUAGGAUGAUCACAACCAUAAUUUUGAUGAUGAUGCUAAUAUUUUUUAUGAUGGCUUUUGCCGUGGGGCAAUAUGCUGGGCAUAUUGUUCUUGAAUGUCAUCCAGGAAACUCUUUGAGAAUUACAGAGGCUUGAACAAUAUUCCAGAAACUUAUCUAUAAAAUAGACAUCAAUCACCAG